rnacentral:rRNA from 1 species
GACAGAGGGUGCAAACGUUGCUCGGAAUUACUGGGCGUAAAGCGCGUGUAGGCGGUCUCGCGAGUCGGGUGUGAAAGCCCGGGGCUCAACCCCGGACGUGCACUCGAUACUACGAGGCUGGAGUACUGUAGAGGAGAGCGGAAUUCCCGGUGUAGAGGUGAAAUUCGUAGAUAUCGGGAGGAACACCAGUGGCGAAGGCGGCUCUCUGGACAGUGACUGACGCUGAGACGCGAAAGCGUGGGUAGCAAACAGG